rnacentral:rRNA from 1 species
GUCUAUGGCCAUACCACCCUGAACGUGCCCAACCUCGUCUGAUCUCAGAAGCUAAGCAGAGUUGGGCCUGGUUAGUACUUGGAUGAGAGAAAACGAUUUGGGUAUCAUUCAUA